AGUGAACGCUGGCGGUAGGCCUAACACAUGCAAGUCGAACGGCAGCACAGUAAGAGCUUGCUCUUACGGGUGGCGAGUGGCGGACGGGUGAGGAAUACAUCGGAAUCUACUUUUUCGUGGGGGAUAACGUAGGGAAACUUACGCUAAUACCGCAUACGACCUACGGGUGAAAGCAGGGGAUCUUCGGACCUUGCGCGACUGAAUGAGCCGAUGUCGGAUUAGCUAGUUGGCGGGGUAAAGGCCCACCAAGGCGACGAUCCGUAGCUGGUCUGAGAGGAUGAUCAGCCACACUGGAACUGAGACACGGUCCAGACUCCUACGGGAGGCAGCAGUGGGGAAUAUUGGACAAUGGGCGCAAGCCUGAUCCAGCCAUACCGCGUGGGUGAAGAAGGCCUUCGGGUUGUAGAGCCCUUUUGUUGGGAAAGAAAAGCAGCAGGUUAAUACCCCGCUGUUCUGACGGUACCCAAAGAAUAAGCACCGGCUAACUUCGUG
rnacentral:rRNA from 1 species